ACGAAAGGCGUAACGAUUUGGGCACUGUCUCAACAACAGACUCGGUGAAAUUGUAAUUCCGGUGAAGAUGCCGGAUACCUGCGACAGGACGGCAAGACCCCAUGGAGCUUUACUGUAGCUUGACCUUGGGUCUUGGUACUACAUGUACAGGAUAGGUGGGAGGCUUUGAAACGAGGACGCCACGAUUGUCCGAGUCUACCCUGGGAUACCCCCCUUGUAAGAAG
rnacentral:rRNA from 1 species